rnacentral:rRNA from 1 species
GAUGAACGCUGGCGGCGUGCCUAAUACAUGCAAGUCGAGCGAACGGACGAGAAGCUUGCUUCCCUGAUGUUAGCGGCGGACGGGUGAGUAACACGUGGAUAACCUACCUAUAAGACUGGGAUAACUUCGGGAAACCGGAUCUAAUACUGGAUAAUAUUUUGAACCGCAUGGUUCAAAAGUGAAAGACGGUCUUGCUGUCACUUAUAGAUGGAUCCGCGCUGCAUUAGCUAGUUGGUAAGGUAACGGCUUACCAAGGCAACGAUGCAUAGCCGAUCUGAGAGGGUGAUCGGCCACACUGGAACUGAGACACGGUCCAGACUCCUACGGGAGGCAGCAGUAGGGAAUCUUCCGCAAUGGGCGAAAGCCUGACGGAGCAACGCCGCGUGGGUGAUGAAGGUCUUCGGGUCGUAAAACUCUGUUAUUAGGGAAGAACAUAUGUGUAAGUAACUGUGCACGUCUUGACGGUACCUAAUCAGAAAGCCACGGCUAACUACGUG